rnacentral:hammerhead_ribozyme from 1 species
GCACUACUGAAGAGUCCCAUAAUAGGACGAAACGGCCUUCUAGUGC